AAUGAACGCUAGCGGCAGGCCUAACACAUGCAAGUCGAGGGGUAACUAGAGUGAUAGCAAUAUUACUUUGGCUAGACCGGCGCACGGGUGCGUAACACGUAUGCAACCUACCUUAUACUGGGGAAUAACUUCGAGAAAUCGGCGCUAAUACCCCAUAACAUUGCGAAGAGGCAUCUCUUUGCAAUUAAAGCUCCGGCGGUAUAAGAUGGGCAUGCGUCCAAUUAGCUAGUUGGUGAGGUAACGGCUCACCAAGGCUACGAUUGGUAGGGGUUUGGGGAGGAUGAUCCCCCACACUGGUACUGAGACACGGACCAGACUCCUACGGGAGGCAGCAGUGAGGAAUAUUGCGCAAUGGACGAAAGUCUGACGCAGCCAUGCCGCGUGCAGGAUGACGGCCCUAUGGGUUGUAAACUGCUUUUGUACGGGAAUAAACCCUUCUACGUGUAGGAGGCUGAAGGUACCGUAAGAAUAAGCACCGGCUAACUCCGUGCCAGCCGCCGCCGUAAUAC
rnacentral:rRNA from 1 species